rnacentral:rRNA from 1 species
ACUACGGGUGGCAGCAGUGGGGAAUAUUGGGCAAUGGGCGCAAGCCUGACCCAGCAACGCCGCGUGAAGGAAGAAGGCUUUCGGGUUGUAAACUUCUUUUCUCAGGGACGAAGAAAGUGACGGUACCUGAGGAAUAAGCCACGGCUAACUACGUGCCAGCAGCCGCGGUAAUACGUAGGUGGCAAGCGUUAGCCGGAUUUAUUGGGUGUAAAGGGCGUGUAGGCGGGAGCGCAAGUCAGAUGUGAAAACUCAGGGCUCAACCCUGAGCCUGCAUUUGAAACUGUGUUUCUUGAGUGCUGGAGAGGCAAUCGGAAUUCCGGGUGUAGCGGUGAAAUGCGUAGAUAUACGGAGGAACACCAGUGGCGAAGGCGGAUUGCUGGACAGUAACUGACGCUGAGGCGCGAAAGCGUGGGGAGCAAACAGGAUUAGAUACCCGAGUAGUC